CGUAGGUGGCAAGCGAUACUCGGAAUCACUAGGCGUAAAGCGCAGGUAGGCGGUUCGGUAAGUCUUUUGUGAAAGCUCCUGGCUCAACUGGGAGAGGUCAAGGGAAACUGCCGAGCUAGAGUUUGGUAGGGGAUACUGGAAUUCCUGGUGCAGCGGUGAAAUGCGUAGAUAUCAGGAGGAAUACCUAUGGCGAAAGCAGGUAUCUGGGCCACAACUGGCGCUGAGCUGCGAAAGCUAGGGGAGCAAACAGGAUUAGAUACCCUGGUAGUCCUAGCCCUAAACGAUGCUCAUUAGAUGUGGGGGGUAUCGACCCCCUCCGCGUCGAAGCUAACGCAUUAAAUGAGCCGCCUGGGGAGUACGGCCGCAAGGUUG
rnacentral:rRNA from 1 species